rnacentral:misc_RNA from 1 species
AUCCAAGCAUGGCUUGUACCCUUCCCCAUCUGGCUGCUCCCAAAACUCUAUCUCUUCUUUCGACACAUUUCCAGUAACCCCUUGAGCCGGUAAUGGCACCAUCACACUCUUUGCUAGUCCGGGGUCAUCCUUUGCAUUCGCAGAAUUUACUGAAGAAAGGGAAGCUAAAAGCAUGUGUGAAGUUGAUUUAGAAGGAAAUGAAAUAGGAGAAGAUGGAGAGAUGAAACAACAUGAGACUGAAUCUCGAGAAAUGGGUAUGAAGCUGAGAAUGGAAGAACCUAAGAGAGUGAAAGAAAAAAGGAGUAAGAGAAAAAAGAGAGAGAGGGUUCUUGUG